rnacentral:rRNA from 1 species
AUUGAACGCUGGCGGCAUGCCUAACACAUGCAAGUCGCACGAGUGGCGCACGGGUGAGUAAUGUCUGGGAAACUGCCUUAUGGAGGGGGUUACCUACUGGAACCGGUAGCUAUUACCGCUAACCAUCCACUGUUCCCAGGUGGGAUUAUCUUGUUGGUAGGGUAACGGCUAACCAGGUAGACGAUCCAUAGCUGGUCUGAGAGGGGGAUCGUCCACACUGGAACUGAGACACGGUCCAGACUCCUACGGGAGGCAGCAGUGGGGAAUAUUGCACAAUAGGCGCAAGCCUGAUGCAGCCAUGCCGCGUGUAUGAAGAAGGCCUUCGGGUUGUAAAGUACUUUAAGCGGGGAGGCGUUACUCGCAGAAGAAGCACCGGCUAACUCCGUGCCAGCAGCCGCGGUAAUAC